CAUCCGUCGGGCGAUCAAACAGUUAAAUUUCCCUUCCUCCAUCCAAAUAAUAAUGUCAACAUUCAACUAUUAAUUCACAACUUAUAAUAAUCUUCAAACGUGUUCCAAUAAUAUUACUGAACAUUCUUUGCUUCACAUAAAUAUAAUCAGCUUCUUUAGCUAAUUGACAAAUAAAUGAAAUCUUUUAUAUAUCUAUAUACAUAUAAGAACACAAUUACAGAUAUUACAAUUUUAUGUUCUAGUUACAAUGCUACUUGCUGAAAUAAUAUUGAAAUCUUUUAAAGACCAGCUUAUAAACUAUCCUAUAGUUCAAACAAAUGGUAUACUAUCUUGAAUCCAUAAUUUACUAUAAAUUACUUAAUAACUAAAAACAAAAUAAUUUCUUAAAUUGAAUCAAUAAGUCUUAUUUAUAUACAUACCCAUCAUUGAUUUUCACCUUUCAAAUUUAAUCACAAUCAAAUAAAUGGUUUGUUUGACUGCACCUAUUUAUAUUUCAUGACCUAUAACCAAUUAUAUACAACACUAAAUCCUAGAUUUUCCUUUAAUAAGCCAAGUAUAACUUCGAUUUAAUCUCAAGUCAUGCUAACAAAAUAAGCUAACAACCAAUUUAUUCAUGUGAUUAGAAUACCCAAUAACUUAGCUACUGCAUUUCUACCAACCCCUCCUUAAUUUAACUUUCUGUGAUAUUUACGGCUUAGAAGCCUAAUUUUCGAUUUCUGUCGUCUAAUGAUUCGAACACUAUACAAUAUCAAAGUGCAAAAACUAAUUGCAAAACUAGAUUCUAUGUAAAAAUUGGUAUAUACUGCCUAUGAGGAAUUCUAGUCACCGAAUCCACCGCUGUCGCCGCCGUCUAUGGUGGCCGGAGGUACCUUGGUUCCUAAAUCUUGCAAUUCUUACGCCAAGACGCAGCAAAUUUCAUAUAGAACUCAGUUCUAUAGCCAACUACUGCAAUUUAUGUCAAUAUCUAACAAAAUCCCAAUUUUUAUUUCUUAAAUCCCUAAGUCCCAUUUUGAUCAAUUCCUGCGUUAAAUCGCCUAAUCUAUGCAAAAUGAUUUCUAAAGGAGUGAAAUGGGAGGACAAUCAACUUACCUCGCCGGAGAGUAUAGUCGGAGUUGCUCGGAGGGAAGGACGGAGACGCGACUGUCUCGAUCGCGCUAAGGUCCCCAGCUUCGCUGUGACUCUUGCGCCCACCAGAAACGGAAACGGAGAGAAAGGAAGGAAGGCGGGCUGCUGCGGCGAGGAGUCGACGGCGAGGAGGCGCUGGUUCUGGUGGUCGAAAAACCAGAGAGGAGAGGCAGCGAGGUCGCGCGCUGGCACUGGCGCAAGGAAGGAGAAGGGGAAAGAAAAAAAAGAAAAAAAAGAAAAAGAAAAGAAAGAAAAAUCUUGGGCUUCUAGACCAUUCCGGUUCGAUUCGAACCG
rnacentral:lncRNA from 1 species